rnacentral:rRNA from 1 species
UACGUAGGGGGCAAGCGUUGUCCGGAAUCAUUGGGCGUAAAGCGCGCGUAGGCGGCUCGAUCAGUCUGCUGUAAAAGUCAAAGGCUCAACCUUUGAAUGCCGGUGGAUACUGUCGGGCUAGAGUCCGGAAGAGGCGAGUGGAAUUCCUGGUGUAGCGGUGGAAUGCGCAGAUAUCAGGAGGAACACCAACGGCGAAGGCAGCUCGCUGGGACGGUACUGACGCUGAGACGCGAAAGCGUGGGGAGCGAACAGG